rnacentral:rRNA from 1 species
AGCAGCCGCGGUAACACCGGCGGCCGAGUGGUGAUCGUGAUUAUUGGGUCUAAAGGGUCCGUAGCCGGUUUGGUCAGUCCUCCGGGAAAUCUGAUAGCUCAACGUAUUAGGCUUUCGGGGGAUACUGCCAGACUUGGAACCGGGAGAGGUAAGAGGUACUACAGGGGUAGGAGUGAAAUCUUGUAAUCCCUGUGGGACCACCUGUGGCGAAGGCGUCUUACCAGAACGGGUUCGACGGUGAGGGACGAAAGCUGGGGGGCACGAACCGGAUUAGAUACCCGGGUAGUCCCAGCCGUAAACGAUGCUCGCUAGGUGUCAGGCAUGGCGCGACCGUGCCUGAUGCCGCAGGGAAGCCGUGAAGCGAGCCACCUGGGAAGUACGGCCGCAAGGCUGAAACUUAAAGGAAUUGGCGGGGGAGCACAACAACGGGUGGAGCCCUGCGGUUUAAUUGGACUCAACGCCGGACAACUCACCGGGGGCGACAGCAAUAUGUAGGCCAAGCUGAAGACUUUGCCUGAAUCGCUGAGAAGUGGUGCAUGG